UGGAUUCGCUAGUAAUCGCGCAUCAGCCACGGCGCGGUGAAUACGUUCCCGGGCCUUGUACACACCGCCCGUCAAGCCAUGGAAGCCGGGAGUGCCUGAAGUGCGUGACCGCAAGGAGCGUCCUAAGGCAAUACCGGUGACUGGGGCUAAGUCGUAACAAGGUAAC
rnacentral:rRNA from 1 species